GAAAUGGUCUUUUUCAAGACCCCAAAUUAAUUAAAGAAAAGAUAUU
rfam:Clunio marinus genome assembly, contig: CLTMA_superscaffold_60B